AGCGAACGCUGGCGGCAGGCUUAACACAUGCAAGUCGAACGGAUCUUUCGGGAUUAGUGGCGGACGGGUGAGUAACACGUGGGAAUCUGCCUUCAGGUUCGGAACAACUCAGGGAAACUUGAGCUAAUACCGUAGGUGCCGUUAGGGGGAAAGAUUUAUCGCCUUUAGAGCAGCCCGCGUGUGAUUAGCUAGUUGGUAGGGUAUAGGCCUACCAAGGCGACGAUCAGUAGCUGGUCUGAGAGGAUGAUCAGCCACAUUGGGACUGAGACACGGCCCAAACCCCUACGGGAGGCAGCAGUGGGGAAUCUUGCGCAAUGGCCGAAAGCCUGACGCAGCCAUGCCGCGUGAAUGAUGAAGGUCUGAGGAUUGUAAAAUUCUUUCAGUGGGGACGAUAAUGACGGUACCCACAGAAGAAGCCCCGGCUAACUUCGUGCCAGCAGCCGCCGUAA
rnacentral:rRNA from 1 species